rnacentral:lncRNA from 1 species
GGAAGUCAGCGUUUGGCGCCAAUCGCUAGAGAGAAUUGCUGCUUCUGUUUGUCACGCAAAUCACAAUAUUCGUUCGGAAAACAAAAUGUUUCAUGAUUAGUAGACGCUGAAAACCUCAUGCAAGAUGAUUUGUUAUAGAUAAGAAUUACCUGAACCCCUUUUUAUAAAAUUAUAUCAGUUGAUCUUAAUUUCGUUUUUCGAUAUAAUUCAAUUCAGUGAAGAAGACCUUGAGCGGUUGAGCUUGAGCCUCUAGCCCACGCUGCUGAUCUCUUGGCUUAGCCACUUUAGUUUUAUCAGCCAUUCGAAUCAGUAAAUCGGCACUGUAGGGUUUUCGAUAAAUCCCAACACACAAUCGACAGAAAAUAUAAUAAUAGAAGUCAAAUGCAGUUCUAAAGGCACAAACAACUCGUGACAAUUGAAGAAAACUAGAGAGAUGUUUCAAUGGGUGUCGAACUGCCACUAGAUGGAGUGGACGACCCACGUCGUGAACCGUUUUGAAAAGACAAAUGUCUACGGACACUAGCUCCAUUGCUGGACACUGAAGAAAUGGUGACUGCAUCGUCGUCAGCAGCUGCCAGUUCUUCCUCGCUCCUCCCCUCUGCGAUGGUGGAAGACAGGACGUCCGUUCGUGGACUGUAGUGCGGAUGGAAUCGAUUGUUGCGUUGCUGCUGCUGCUGACUGAGCCGACUGGCGAUGUAACUGACUCGAGCACUGCGACGAAUCAAAUUCUCCAGUGCUGGAUGUUUGGUCACUGGACUGACGUCUGGCGACGCGGGCCCCUUGCCGAUUCCGGCCGGCGGAGGUUGAGUCGCUUUGAGCUGCUCAACGGCCGAGAUCUUUUUAUUGGACGCCGGAUGAUGGAGUUGCUGGAGCAAUUUGCGUUUGAAAUCGGAAAUGGUCGUCCGUUUGACCAGUCCGAUUGAAUGGAUUUUGGGCUGCUGUGGUGAAGGUGACGCCCCCGCAUCACCUGGAUGAAGCGGCCAAGUGCCGGGGCGAGUGUCGACGGAUUCGUUCAAACUUGACGUGGAAAAGGAGCCAUCCAGGGAACAGGAGGAAUACGAAGGUGUUGGCGACGAUUUGCCUUGUUGCUGGACACGUCCGGCGCCACUGGGAGUAGCAGAGUUGAAAGAGUUUGAUCUUUUGGGUGAAAAUUCCAGGAAUCCACCUUCUUCCGGACUAUCUCUUCCGGUUCUGGCUGCGUUGGCCGCCGCUAAUUUCGACGGUAACGGAAGCGUGCUGCUGUUUCUUUUGUCAUCUCCCGCACUGGGCAGCCACUGGUUGUAGUUUGGUUCUACGGAAGACGGAGAACCGCCGCCGCCGGUCAUGGAUGCGUAAUAAUCGGCCACCGUUUUGAAUCGAGCCGGAAGCGAAUUGUAUCGGAAAUCUUUGCGUUGAAAUUCGGUCGAUGUGGACGACAACUGGGCUAGUGGCAAGGCCGACAUUCUCGGCGGAGGCGAUAAAGAUUGAUAGCCCGGAAGUGGUGAUGAGCUGCUGGAUGAAACUCCGUUCAAUCUCGAACUAGUAGUUCCUGUUCCAUCUAGUGAAAAUUAGAAAAAGCAGACCAAAAGAAUUAAUCAUUUUCUAAUGGAAUUAAAAGCCCAGAGAAAUCCAACUCUAAAGAAAACAAACGAAGCACGCACACACACACACAAAACAAAAUACAAAAAGUGCAAAUAAAAUAAAAAGGAGAAAGCCAGGCCGUGAAAAAUAGUGUGAGAGAAAUUUCAAGCAAAUACUUAAAUAAUAAUAGUAAAAAAAGCGACAAAAACAAUUUCGUUUGUUUCAUGCGACGUGAGAUUUUUCCAGUCAUGCGGGGGUGGUGAUAAAA